ensembl:lncRNA
AUUAGCAUCAGGCGGCGUGUGCCACCAGUGCCAACUGCUCUCCGAGCGGCCAUUAAAGGUCAUGUUUUGAUGACUGAAUGCCACACAGACACCUUGGCUCCCGCGAGGAGGUUCCCCAGGUGCACGUGAAAGGUUAGAAAUUACCUUCCAUCUCGAGGCUGCUGCCCAAGGAAAUAAUUAGAGGGCUUUUAGGAGCGCGAGAUCGACGCUUCCCGAGGACCACACCGAGAGAGAGAGACGACAGAACCGGGAACAACGACCAGCCUGUCAGAGAGAAGGAGAGAACGGCUGCUAAAGUCUGCACACUCUUCAAAAUAAAGGCAAAGAUGCGUCAUUUCCCUUAGAGGCUGCGCAUCCGCGUGUCAGAGGUUGAACCCGGCGGAGCAGGUCCCCGGAGACGCUCACGCUGGGCCGCUGUCCGUGAUGCAUUAAUCAUGUCCGAAUCCUCAAGACAAAGAGCCACGCGUUUCUCGUCUGCAUGUGAAAUGAUGCGACGCGGGCCUGCCACGAGGUUAAACUCUCAAACGUGCUCUUUGAUGGGCUUUAAUGAGAUGUCAGCGCCCAGACGGAUUUCUCUGCUGUCCCGUAAAACAGGCCACGGAGCACGAAGCCGCAUCUCUGUGAUCUGCUCAAAAACACACCUAGAUGUGUCGCAACACUUUCACACAAUCACCGCGUCAGGAGUGUGACGUCUGUCAAGCAGGAUUUAAGUUGAGUUUAUGCAAAGAGGCACCCCAGACAGCAAGCAGUUUCGGUCCAGAUCCGGCCCACAUCCGGCCCCCCAUGGAUUUCACACAGGCCAGAUGUGGGCCGGAUCUGGGCCAACACUAUGUUGUUAUCUGAGACUAAACUGAAAGCCCUUUCAGAUCAGAACCGUGAGUCAAACCUGCUUCAUACUCAUCAACUUCU